CAACAUACUGAGGUUAUUUCUUAUAUUAUACUUGAAGAAGCUGAAUAUAAACUAAGAGAUGCUAUCAGCAGCAAAGAGAAGGAACUGAUUGAAUUGAAACGAGAAAUAUCAAUGACUCAAGUA